UAUGGGCACAGCCAGAUGUUCACAAUUUUUCUCCCUCUUUCCGCACAGAUUUUAUGCAAAUUGCAGAAAGAACAGCACUGCCAUCACCACCUCUCCUGUUAAUAAAUCCCGUCGUGGACUCUGCGCCUCUCCCACCCAGCUCACGGGGACAAGCUGCCACGUGCAAGCCCUGCUCUAUGCAAGUCAGGGCUGCCUGCUGCUGGGAUGGAAGGGGCCACCAGGGGCCAUUUCAUCACUUGCCCACUCGCACUGCUGUAAAUUGCGUGUAACUGCAGGCUGCACGUUGACACGGAGGUGGUGUCAGGGAGAACAGGGCUUGGCAACCUCAGGAAGAAUUAGAUAAGCUGCAAAGCAGAGGGGCGAUCAGGAGAGAUUAUAUUUCCAGCGCUGGUGUGGUCUCAUGGAAUAGCUACAAAGAGAAGAGCUGGCCCAGCUUCCCCUGUUUCCACUGCAUGGCCCCCUCCUCGGAGGACUUACUUGUGAAUUACACUUACAGAAGUGAGAAGAGAUUCAAGCUGCACAUUUACAGCUACACUGAGAGGGGAGCAGGGGCCGGCAACACCAGUUGGUGGUUUUGGC
ensembl:lncRNA